AAGGAUUGGAUACACACAGCUUGUGUCACAGAGCCAGGAGCCAGAGGUGUGGAGGCAGGGAGGUGUCAGAAGUCCCACAAGAAUCAGAGGCAGGUGGGCACCGGCACAGGGCAGUAGAGGGGAGAAGGAAGGCAGAUGCUGGUUUUUAAAGCUGCAAGAGACACCAAGUAGCCCAACCCCCUCCUUUCAGCAAUGAGGAGGCUGAGGCUGGAGGAGGAAGUGACUUGUUCCAGACUUGAUCCCUGGAAUGGGUUUCUGAACCCUCUGGAAAGAAGAGCUGCAUUUAAGGCAAAGCCAAGUAUUGAAGAUCAAGAGAUGACUCAAGCCUAACAACUUAGGGAUCCCAAGAAGGAAUUCCGGGUGGGAACGGAUUCCAGACCAGGUCUUGAGCCUUCCUCCUUUAAUAAGCUGGAGAUGUACUUCCACAGAAAGAAUUCCCACCUGGAGAAAUCUCUCUAACGAUGAUGCCUCAUGCUUUCUGUAUUCCUGCCCAUCCUCCACUCCUAAAGCCUAAUAUAGUUCUGAGACCCAGA